UACGUAGGGUGCAAGCGUUGUCCGGAAUUAUUGGGCGUAAAGAGCUCGUAGGCGGUUUGUCGCGUCUGCUGUGAAAACUCGGGGCUUAACCCCGGGCCUGCAGUGGGUACGGGCAGACUAGAGUGCGGUAGGGGAGACUGGAAUUCCUGGUGUAGCGGUGAAAUGCGCAGAUAUCAGGAGGAACACCGGUGGCGAAGGCGGAUCUCUGGGCCUGUCCUGACGCUGAGGCGCGAAAGCGUGGGGAGCGAACAGG
rnacentral:rRNA from 1 species